CAGAGUGUUUGAUCGAAAGAUCUACCUCCCACCCUUUUGAUUAUGAGACUUUGUUGCUUCGGCAAGACGUUUGUUUUGGGAACAGAAUGACCGUUGACCAUAUUUUGGGUGAGCGUGUUCUUGCCGAAGAACUUUUCAACUCUUUUUUAUUUACAAGUUGUCUGAGUAUAUCAAACAAAAAAAAGCAA
rnacentral:misc_RNA from 1 species